rnacentral:rRNA from 1 species
CCUANGGGUGGCAGCAGUGGGGAAUUUUGGACAAUGGGGGCAACCCUGAUCCAGCCAUGCCGCGUGAGUGAAGAAGGCCUUCGGGUUGUAAAGCUCUUUCGGCCGGGAAGAAAACGUAUGGGUUAAUACCCUGUGCGGAUGACGGUACCGGCAUAAGAAGCACCGGCUAACUACGUGCCAGCAGCCGCGGUAAUACGUAGGGUGCGAGCGUUAAUCGGAAUUACUGGGCGUAAAGCGUGCGCAGGCGGUUUUUUAAGACAGGCGUGAAAUCCCCGGGCUCAACCUGGGAACUGCGCUUGUGACUGGAAGGCUAGAGUACGGCAGAGGGGGGUGGAAUUCCACGUGUAGCAGUGAAAUGCGUAGAGAUGUGGAGGAACACCAAUGGCGAAGGCAGCCCCCUGGGUCGAUACUGACGCUCAUGCACGAAAGCGUGGGUAGCAAACAGGAUUAGAUACCCCANUANUC